CUCAGUGGCACUCUUUGAUGUCUGGACUAUUAUGACUACCUAAUUAGACUGGCUGACAAAUCAAGAUGAAUGGGGUGCCAGAUGAAUAGGAAACUCCAUCAGCUGUGUGUUUCUAACACCUGGCCUGCCAGCAGAGAGCUGCCCUCCGGCCUGGGCCGGCCCCUUGCCUGCUCUGUGCCCACGUAGCCCCAACCAAAACAGCCCGCUUCGCUCCAGGGACCCCACAGCUCCAGGGACCCCACAGCUCCAGUCUCCACCCUGGCACCCCCCGUUCACACCUCAGCAAACUGUUAUGCAAGAUUACAUGACAGAUGGUCCACUUUGUGGUUUGCUUGAAAUUUGGUUAAGAAAUCCUAUCAAGAAGCCCUUGCAGAAAGAAAACCAUAUACAUGCCUUCUUAAUGAACUUCGGAAUUUGCUACAGCAAGAUCCUUUAUCUAUUGUUACAGAAAGAGGGGGAGAAUUCAUGAGCAAUUUUGGAAGUUUCACUUUAUUAGACAUUACAACAAGAAAAAGACAGCAUGCAAUGCUUUAAAGUUCAAAAAAAUCACUCAAGUCACUGAAAAUAUGUUCUUAAUAUCCAUGAGAACACCAAGAGUAAAGGAAUUAAGAUAUUACGUUAUGCUUUAAUAUUAAUAAUGCUCUGAUUUAGAAGGAAAAUAAUAAGAGACAUAUGCCAGACAACUGAAGUGUGCAUGCUGGAAUUCAAAUGCAAGAGACUGGGGCAGCUGCAGCAGGGAGGGAACAAAACAGAACCGAAAAGAAGCCUCUGAAGCAACCACACAACCAGGAACUCCAACAGACUGUGGACAAAUACACUACAGAACUGAGAGCUGGAGAAGAUGACAGAUAUUUUGACUUUCUCAAGUUAUGAGGAACUGACUCUGUU